GAUGAACGCUGGCGGCGUGCCUAAUACAUGCAAGUCGAGCGAACGGACGAGAAGCUUGCUUUUCUGAUGUUAGCGGCGGACGGGUGAGUAACACGUGGAUAACCUACCUAUAAGACUGGGAUAACUUCGGGAAACCGGAGCUAAUACCGGAUAAUAUUUUGAACCGCAUGGUUCAAAAGUGAAAGACGGUCUUGCUGUCACUUAUAGAUGGAUCCGCGCUGCAUUAGCUAGUUGGUAAGGUAACGGCUUACCAAGGCAACGAUGCAUAGCCGACCUGAGAGGGUGGUCGGCCACACUGGAACUGAGACACGGUCCAGACUCCUACGAGAGGCAGCAGUAGGGAAUCUUCCGCAAUGGGCGAAAGCCUGACGGAGCAACGCCGCGCGAGUGAUGAAGGUCUUCGGAUCGUAAAACUCUGUUAUUAGGGAAAAACAUAUGUGUAAGUAACUGUGCACAUCUUGACGGUACCUAAUCAGAAAGCCACGGCUAACUACGUG
rnacentral:rRNA from 1 species